GAUGAACGCUGGCGGCGUGCCUAAUACAUGCAAGUCGAGCGAACAGAUGAGGAGCUUGCUCCUCUGACGUUAGCGGCGGACGGGUGAGUAACACGUGGAUAACCUACCUAUAAGACUGGGAUAACUUCGGGAAACCGGAGCUAAUACCGGAUAAUAUAUUGAACCGCAUGGUUCAAUAGUGAAAGACGGUUUUGCUGUCACUUAUAGAUGGAUCCGCGCCGCAUUAGCUAGUUGGUAAGGUAACGGCUUACCAAGGCAACGAUGCGUAGCCGACCUGAGAGGGUGAUCGGCCACACUGGAACUGAGACAGGGUCAAGACUCCUACGGGAGGCAGCAGUAGGGAAUCUUCCGCAAUGGGCGAAAGCCUGACGGAGCAACGCCGAGUGAGUGAUGAAGGUCUUCGGAUCGUAAAACUCUGUUAUUAGGGAAGAACAAAUGUGUAAGUAACUAUGCACGUCUUGACGGUACCUAAUCAGAAAGCCACGGCUAACUACGUG
rnacentral:rRNA from 1 species